AAAUGCAUAGAGAUAACACAGAACACCGAUUGCGAAGGCAGCUUACUAAACUAUUACUGACGCUGAGGUACGAAAGCGUUUGGAGCGAACAGGAUUAGGUACCAUGGUAGUCCACGCCGUAAACGUUGAUCACUAGUUGUUUGCGAUACAUUGUGAGCGACUGAACAAAAGCAUUAAGUGAUCCACCUGGGGAGUACGUUGGCAACGAUGAAACUCAAAGGAAUUGACGGGGGCCCGCACAAGCGGAGGAACAUGUGGUUUAAUUCGAUGAUACGCGAGGAACCUUACCUGGGCUUAAAUGUAAGACGACUAACAGGGAAACUUGUUAUCUUUCGAGCGUCCUACAAGGUGCUGCAUGGUUGUCGUCAGCUCGUGCCGUGAGGUGUCGGGUUAAGUCCCAUAACGAGCGCAACCCUUAUCGUUAGUUGCCAGCGGGUAAUGCCGGGGACUCUAGCGAAACUGCCAUCGUAAGAUGUGAGGAAGGUGGGGAUGACGUCAAAUCAGCACGGCCAUUAUGUCCAGGGCUACACACGUGUUACAAUGGUCGANACAAAGGGCAGCUACUUGGUGACAAGAUGCUAAUCUCUAAAAUCGAUCUCAGUUCGGAUCGAAGUCUGCAAUUCGACUUCGUGAAGUUGGAUUCGCUAGUAAUCGCGCAUCAGCAAUGGCGCGGUGAAUACGUUCCCGGNCAUGUACACACCGCCCGUCAAGCCAUGAAGCUGGGGUACCUGA
rnacentral:rRNA from 1 species